AGAGUUUGAUCCUGGCUCAGGACGAACGCUGGCGGCGUGCCUAAUACAUGCAAGUCGAGCGGACAGAUGGGAGCUUGCUCCCUGAUGUUAGCGGCGGACGGGUGAGUAACACGUGGGUAACCUGCCUGUAAGACUGGGAUAACUCCGGGAAACCGGGGCUAAUACCGGAUGGUUGUUUGAACCGCAUGGUUCAAACAUAAAAGGUGGCUUCGGCUACCACUUACAGAUGGACCCGCGGCGCAUUAGCUAGUUGGUGAGGUAACGGCUCACCAAGGCGACGAUGCGUAGCCGACCUGAGAGGGUGAUCGGCCACACUGGGACUGAGACACGGCCCAGACUCCUACGGGAGGCAGCAGUAGGGAAUCUUCCGCAAUGGACGAAAGUCUGACGGAGCAACGCCGCGUGAGUGAUGAAGGUUUUCGGAUCGUAAAGCUCUGUUGUUAGGGAAGAACAAGUGCCGUUCGAAUAGGGCGGUACCUUGACGGUACCUAACCAGAAAGCCACGGCUAACUACGUGCCAGCAGCCGCGGUAAUACGUAGGUGGCAAGCGUUGUCCGGAAUUAUUGGGCGUAAAGGGCUCGCAGGCGGUUUCUUAAGUCUGAUGUGAAAGCCCCCGGCUCAACCGGGGAGGGUCAUUGGAAACUGGGGAACUUGAGUGCAGAAGAGGAGAGUGGAAUUCCACGUGUAGCGGUGAAAUGCGUAGAGAUGUGGAGGAACACCAGUGGCGAAGGCGACUCUCUGGUCUGUAACUGACGCUGAGGAGCGAAAGCGUGGGGAGCGAACAGGAUUAGAUACCCUGGUAGUCCACGCCGUAAACGAUGAGUGCUAAGUGUUAGGGGGUUUCCGCCCCUUAGUGCUGCAGCUAACGCAUUAAGCACUCCGCCUGGGGAGUACGGUCGCAAGACUGAAACUCAAAGGAAUUGACGGGGGCCCGCACAAGCGGUGGAGCAUGUGGUUUAAUUCGAAGCAACGCGAAGAACCUUACCAGGUCUUGACAUCCUCUGACAAUCCUAGAGAUAGGACGUCCCCUUCGGGGGCAGAGUGACAGGUGGUGCAUGGUUGUCGUCAGCUCGUGUCGUGAGAUGUUGGGUUAAGUCCCGCAACGAGCGCAACCCUUGAUCUUAGUUGCCAGCAUUCAGUUGGGCACUCUAAGGUGACUGCCGGUGACAAACCGGAGGAAGGUGGGGAUGACGUCAAAUCAUCAUGCCCCUUAUGACCUGGGCUACACACGUGCUACAAUGGACAGAACAAAGGGCAGCGAAACCGCGAGGUUAAGCCAAUCCCACAAAUCUGUUCUCAGUUCGGAUCGCAGUCUGCAACUCGACUGCG
rnacentral:rRNA from 1 species